GUGAUAAUUUCAUAAGCGAUCUCUUCAAUUGGAAUGAUACAGUCUCCACCCUUACUCUUCAUGGUCGUCUUGUUAGGAAUAAAGUUCCUCGCUCAUAAAACAGUUGCGUGCUGCAGAAACGUUGUGGAGGAAUCCUUACUUGAAGUAAUGUCUUUCACGUGGCCCUCAGCGUGUUCAUCUAGGGCAGCAGAAUCGUGGCUCGCUCCUGCAUUAUUUCAGACCCGACAGCCUGGUAGGCAGCAUCUGUUACCCUCCCGAACACUUCGUGGUUGGGGGGAAGCCAAGCAAGUGGUGCGUUCUUCACACAGCAGAAGUUAAGAGAAUACUCUUUUGAUUGUGCAGCUUUGUAGUCGGUCCUGAAAUCAGCUAAUAUGAAUCCUUCAACUUGCAAGAUGGGGACAGUCUCGCUCACAGACAGUCGGUAUCACCAAAUCUAUACAACUAGAGGUACCAUUUAAAGCCAGCUGCUUCCGCAUCAGAAUUCUUGCUUGUAACUA